rnacentral:rRNA from 13 species
GAGGGAAAGGUGAAAAGCACCCCGACGAGGGGAGUGAAACAGUUUCUGAAACCGGACGCCUACAAGCAGUCGGAGCCCCCUUGAGGGGUGACGGCGUACCUUUUGUAUAAUGGGUCAGCGACUUAUAUUCAGUAGCGAGGUUAACCGUAUAGGGGAGCCGUAGAGAAAUCGAGUCUUAAUAGGGCGUAUAGUUGCUGGGUAUAGACCCGAAAC